UGGUUCUCCCCGAAAGCUAUUUAGGUAGCGCCUCGUGAAUUCAUCUCCGGGGGUAGAGCACUGUUUCGGCUAGGGGGCCAUCCCGGCUUACCAACCCGAUGCAAACUGCGAAUACCGGAGAAUGUUAUCACGGGAGACACACGGCGGGUGCUAACGUCCGUCGUGAAGAGGGAAACAACCCAGACCGCCAGCUAAGGUCCCAAAGUCAUGGUUAAGUGGGAAACGAUGUGGGAAGGCCCAGACAGCCAGGAUGUUGGCUUAGAAGCAGCCAUCAUUUAAAGAAAGCGUAAUAGCUCACUGGUCGAGUCGGCCUGCGCGGAAGAUGUAACGGGGCUAAACCAUGCACCGAAGCUGCGGCAGCGAACGUAUCACCCAAGACAACUUUACGGAGUUGACGAUUGACGGAGCGAAGCGACGUCAAAGCGUUCAUUAAAGUCGAGUUGGCUUAGGGAUACGUUCGUUGGGUAGGGGAGCGUUCUGUAAGCCUGUGAAGGUGUGUCGUGAGGCAUGCUGGAGGUAUCAGAAGUGCGAAUGCUGACAUAAGUAACGAUAAAGCGGGUGAAAAGCCCGCUCGCCGGAAGACCAAGGGUUCCUGUCCAACGUUAAUCGGGGCAGGGUGAGUCGACCCCUAAGGCGAGGCCGAAAGGCGUAGUCGAUGGGAAACGGGUUAAUAUUCCCGUACUUGGUGUUACUGCGAAGGGGGGACGGAGAAGGCUAUGUUGGCCGGGCGACGGUUGUCCCGGUUUAAGCGUGUAGGUGUGUGUUCCAGGUAAAUCCGGUUCACUUUAACACUGAGGCGUGACGACGAGGCACU
rnacentral:rRNA from 1 species